rnacentral:rRNA from 1 species
CCUACGGGAGGCAGCAGUAAGGAAUAUUGGUCAAUGGAGGCAACUCUGAACCAGCCAUGCCGCGUGCAGGAAGACAGCCCUAUGGGUCGUAAACUGCUUUUAUACGGGAAUAAACUUUGAUUCGUGAAUCAAGCUGAAUGUACCGUAAGAAUAAGGAUCGGCUAACUCCGUGCCAGCAGCCGCGGUAAUACGGAGGAUCCAAGCGUUAUCCGGAUUUAUUGGGUUUAAAGGGAGCGUAGGCGGCCUAUUAAGUCAGGGGUGAAAGACGGUGGCUCAACCAUCGCAGUGCCUUUGAUACUGAUGGGCUUGAAUAUAGUUGAGGUAGGCGGAAUGUGACAAGUAGCGGUGAAAUGCAUAGAUAUGUCACAGAACACCGAUUGCGAAGGCAGCUUACUAAGCUAUGAUUGACGCUGAGGCUCGAAAGCGUGGGGAUCAAACAGGAUUAGAUACCCUGGUAGUCCACGCCCUAAACGAUGAUAACUCGAUGUUGGCGAUAUACAGUCAGCGUCCAAGCGAAAGCGUUAAGUUAUCCACCUGGGGAGUUAGCCGCAAGGUGAACGUUAAUUGAAUUGACGGCGNGAGAGNGCGAGCGACGACGAGGAGGAGG